rnacentral:rRNA from 1 species
AACGAACGCUGGCGGCAUGCCUAACACAUGCGAGUCGAACGAUUGCCUUCGGGUGAUAGUGGCGCACGGGUGCGUAACGCGUGGGAAUCUGCCCUUAGGUUCGGAAUAACAGCUGGAAACGGCUGCUAAUACCGGAUGAUAUCGCGAGAUCAAAGAUUUAUCGCCUGAGGAUGAGCCCGCGUUGGAUUAGGUAGUUGGUGGGGUAAAGGCCUACCAAGCCGACGAUCCAUAGCUGGUCUGAGAGGAUGAUCAGCCACACUGGGACUGAGACACGGCCCAGACUCCUACGGGAGGCAGCAGUGGGGAAUAUUGGACAAUGGGCGCAAGCCUGAUCCAGCAAUGCCGCGUGAGUGAUGAAGGCCCUAGGGUUGUAAAGCUCUUUUACCCGGGAAGAUAAUGACUGUACCGGGAGAAUAAGCCCCGGCUAACUCCGU